UCCACUCCCACAGCAGCGUGUGUGUCAGGAGAGCUAGCUGCAGCCUGCACAGCACGAGGGAGAGCCCCGCUGCAGCUCUGCAUUCACCCAAACCUGCCCCGCACUGCCACCGUCACGUUCAUUCAAAGUUGCCUUGUGUCGGAAAUACCCCCCCCCCACCAGGGUGCCUAUAAUGCAGCAUCCCAUCGACUCGCAGGGACCGUGCCACUGUACGAAGGGGGUGUGUGUGUGUUUCUCUGUCUGUUUAUUCUUGACGUCACAGCAGUCCGACAGCAGAACCUUCCACUGAGCCGAGCGCGUGCUCCGAGCACAUGGAAACUGAUCUACAGCCUUCACGUUGGGGAUUUAUUUUAUCCACGCGCCCCACUUUCCUUUUUUUUCCCCAUGGAUUAUACGAUGGCACCUCCGGCCGGGCAACGCGGGCAUCUCUGGGGCAAGCGACUCCUCCUGAACUGAAGCAAUCUUGUGAAACGGGUUAGUGAGCCCUGUGGAUAGCCGGCUUUUCCAGGAAAAUUUUGAAGCUAUUUCUCUGUCAGACGUUGAAUCCAUUCCAGCUGCUAGAAAAUUGGCAGCUCUGUUCCAAGCGUUUGGCACUUCAGGCUCCAGAUGAAUUUCAGGCCGAACCUCUGAGGAUUACCUUGAAUGAAGACUCCUCUGGUGGAAUUGCUGGAUCUUCAUGUGGAUUUACAAUCAUGUCCAUCUGUGAAUGGGGAUUUUAUUCGGGGCGCCCAAAGAAAAGGAUUAUUGGUGUAACGUGAAUAAAAGCUGAGGGCCAUGGUGUUGCCAAGAAGCUCAUCUUAUGGAUAAAAUGUGGAAGAAGAAUAUUAGGGCCCGGAUACUGGAAAAGAAGGCUGUUGGCCACCUCUUCUCCCAGGCGAUGUAGGCAUGGGGAUGUUACGGAUAUAUCCAUACGUUUAUAUCCAGGGCUGCACAACAUGGCACUAAAGGUACGAUAACAAACAAAUGCCAUUAAGAGUGUCGGCAAAUCAGUGCCUGCAGGGGGCGCCACCUGGUUAUUUGCACUGCAGAAUCAUGAACUCCUCUCUCUUGCGCAGGUUUGUCCCAGACCACCAUGGAGCAUGACAAGAUCAACACACUUAAAAGGAUAACUAUUAAAAGUACAAUAAAGACUGGAUGAAAAUAUGAACGUUUAUGGAUUAUCACAGCUUUUCUGCCAUCUGCCACUAUGGACAACAACUGGAAUACAGUUUCAUUCUUCUAAAAGGAGUCACUUCUAGAAGGCUCCAACGUCCUCCUGAUGGGAACCUCCGGAUUCUGCCAGCAGAUGUGAUUCCCACUCCCACGCACUCGCGCCCUCAUCCAUCCUCCUCGUUCCUCUCCGAGUUAUCCACCUGCCGAGGGUGGUGUUAGUGCUCAGGGCGCCAACUGGGAUCAGCGGGAGAAGAAAAGUCAUGCUGAUACUCUGCUGUAGCCUUUAUUUAUAAACAGGAGGUGGAGCUGCCAUACUGUUUCCAUAGAGGAAAUAUUGUUCAUAUGAAACCAGUGGUGAAAUGAUAUUAAAUGGUAAAACGCUUGACUGGAAGAAUAAGGGUGGGAAGGUUGAUUAGUAUCUCACUUUCCUGGAAGCCACAAUGACAUGGGAAUCGGAUUUAGUGCAAAAUAAUUGAUUAUGUGGGUAAAGGUAUCAGUUCUGUCCCAGCUACCCGCCAGUACCAAUUGGAAAGCCAAUACCUGUGCCCUACCCUGACUGCUGAGAGAAGAACGACCAAUUUAUUGAACGUAAUGGAUUAUGUGGGCAGGGGAAGGCCGACUGGCGGCCAUUAUUCUGAGAACGUUUGAGAGCACAAAAGAAGAACCUUCAGCCCAAUGCCACUCGUGUCUGCGGCGGCCCCCCGGUGAUGCAGCACCACGUGAUGAAAAAUGGCUGCCGCUUCCAUGUUUUGUCUUUAUUGGGGAAGUAGAAUGCUAAAUAAAGAUGUUCUUCUGGCUGCA